rnacentral:rRNA from 1 species
GACGAACGCUGGCGGUGUGCUUCACACAUGCAAGUCGAACGAGGUAGCAAUACCUAGUGGCGGACGGGUGAGUAAACGCGUGGGAAUCUGCCUUUAGAUGGGGGAUAACGGGUCGAAAGACUCGCUAAUACCGCAUAUGACGAAAGUUGAAAGGAGUAAUCCGUCUAAAGAUGAGCCCGCGUCCGAUUAGCUAGUUGGUAGAGUAAAAGCCUACCAAGGCGACGAUCGGUAGCUGGUCUGAGAGGAUGAUCAGCCACAAUGGGAACUAGAGACACGGCCCAUACUCCUACGGAGGCAGCAGUGGGAAUUUACGCAAUGGCGAAAGCCUGACGUAGCGACACCGCGUGAGCGAAGAAGCCCUGGGUGUAAAGCUCUGUCAGCUGGAACGAAAAAAUGACGGUACCAGCAGAGAAGCAUCGGCUAACUACGUGCCAGCAGCCGCGGUAA